rnacentral:rRNA from 1 species
AGAGGAGCCAAGCGUUGUCCGGAUUGAYUGGGCGUAAAGCGCACGCAGGCGGACGCGCGCGUGGGGUGUGAAAUCUGGCCGCUUAACGGCCAGGCGCCAUCCCAUACGGCGCGUCUGGAGUGAUGCAGAGGUCGAUGGAAUUGCCGGUGUAGUGGUGAAAUGCGUAGAGAUCGGCAGGAACACCCAGGGGGAAACCAGUCGACUGGGCAUCUACUGACGCUGAGGUGCGAGAGCGUGGGGAGCGAACCGGAUUAGAUACCCGGGUAGUCCACGCCGUAAACGAUGGCCACUCGGCCUUUGGGGGCGGAAUCUCCGUCCGUGGGGGCCUUAGCAAACGCGGGAAGUGGCCCGCCUGGGAACUACGAGCGCAAGCU